AGAGUUUGAUCAUGGCUCAGAUUGAACGCUGGCGGCAUGCCUAACACAUGCAAGUCGAACGGAAACGAUGGAAGCUUGCUUCCAGGCGUCGAGUGGCGGACGGGUGAGUAAUACUUAGGAAUCUGCCCAUUAGUGGGGGACAACUCGGGGAAACUCGAGCUAAUACCGCAUACGCCCUACGGGGGAAAGCGGGGGAUCUUCGGACCUCGCGCUAAUGGAUGAGCCUAAGUCGGAUUAGCUUGUUGGUGAGGUAAAGGCUCACCAAGGCGACGAUCCGUAGCUGGUCUGAGAGGACGGUCAGCCACACUGGGACUGAGACACGGCCCAGACUCCUACGGGAGGCAGCAGUGGGGAAUAUUGGACAAUGGGGGAAACCCUGAUCCAGCAAUGCCGCGUGUGUGAAGAAGGCCUGCGGGUUGUAAAGCACUUUCAGUAGAGAAGAAAAGCCUAUGGUUAAUAACCGUGGGUCUUGACGUAACCUACAGAAGAAGCUCCGGCUAACUCCGUGCCAGCAGCCGCGGUAAUACGGAGGGAGCGAGCGUUAAUCGGAAUUACUGGGCGUAAAGCGCGCGUAGGCGGCUUUGUAAGUCGGAUGUGAAAGCCCUGGGCUCAACCUGGGAAUUGCAUUCGAAACUGCAUGGCUAGAGUAUGGUAGAGGGAAGUGGAAUUUCCGGUGUAGCGGUGAAAUGCGUAGAUAUCGGAAGGAACACCAGUGGCGAAGGC
rnacentral:rRNA from 1 species